rnacentral:rRNA from 1 species
UACGUAGGGUCCGAGCGUUGUCCGGAAUUACUGGGCGUAACGAGCUCGUAGGUGGUUUGUCGCGUUGUUCGUGAAAACUCACAGCUUAACUGUGGGCGUGCGGGCGAUACGGGCAGACUUGAGUACUGCAGGGGAGACUGGAAUUCCUGGUGUAGCGGUGGAAUGCGCAGAUAUCAGGAGGAACACCGGUGGCGAAGGCGGGUCUCUGGGCAGUAACUGACGCUGAGGAGCGAAAGCGUGGGGAGCGAACAGG